rnacentral:lncRNA from 1 species
CAAUUAUCAAAAUAUAGAAAAUAUCUCACCGAAUGUGUUCAAUAAACUCAAGUUCCUUCAUUAAAGUUUACACAAUUUUGAGAUAGGUUUCAGAUCCACAGUUUGCUCCAAGAUUUGGUAUCACAAUUCAUUGAAACUAGGAUUUGAUACCACUAAAAGGUCGAGAAACGAACAAGUUUGACAAAGAUUUAAAACCUAUCGAUAGAAUACGUAAAGAAAAUGUAGAAACAAAAAACCAACAUUAAGGAUUUU